rnacentral:rRNA from 1 species
GACGAACGCUGGCGGCGUGCUUAACACAUGCAAGUCGUGCGGUAAGGCCCUUUCGGGGGUCCACGAGCGGCGAACGGGUGAGUAACACGUGAGCAACCUGCCCUUCACUUUGGGAUAACUGCCGGAAACGGUGGCUAAUACCGGAUAUGACUUCCUCACGCUUGUGGGGUGGUGGAAAGCCCUCGGGUGGUGGGGGAUGGGCUCGCGGUCUAUCAGCUUGUUGGUGGGGUGAUGGCCUACCAAGGCUUCGACGGGUAGCCGGCCUGAGAGGGUGACCGGCCACACUGGGACUGAGACACGGCCCAGACGCCUACGGGAGGCAGCAGGGGGGAAUAUUGGACAAUGGGCGAAAGCCUGAUCCAGCAACGCCGCGUGAGGGAUGACGGCCUUCGGGUUGUAAACCUCUUUCGCCUGCGACGAAGCGAGAGUGACGGUAGCAGGUAAAGAAGCACCGGCCAACUACGUG